CCGCGAGCCCCGCCGGCGUUGCUCGUGGUGGGGGCGGCGGGCAGAGCACCAUGGCCGUGUCGUGGAGGAGCUGGCUGGCUAAUGAGGGGAGCAAGCACCUCUUUCUGUUUUUCUGGCUCUCACUGAACGUGUGGUUCUUCUGGAAGACCUUCCUGCUGUACUGCCGAGGGUUGCAGUAUUACUAUCUGCAUCAGAUGUUAGGGCUAGGAUUGUGUGUUAGCAGAGCUUCAGCGUCUGUCCUCAAUCUCAACUGCUGCCUGGUCCUGCUCCCAAUGUGCCGCAUUCUCUUGGCCUUCCUCAGGGGAUCUCAGAAGGUUGCCAGCAGGAAGACCAGAAGGCUGAUAGACAAAAGUAAAACUUUUCAUGUGACAUGUGGUGUUACAAUAUGCACCUUUUCAGUCUUGCAUGUUGCUGCUCAUCUGGUGAAUGCUCUUAACUUCUCUGAGAAUUACAAUGAAGAUUUUCUGGCAAUAAAUGCAGCAAAUUAUCGUGGUGAGGACCCAAGGAAACUGCUUUUUACUACUGUUCCAGGUCUGACUGGAGUCAUUAUGGUUUUAGUGCUAUUCCUAAUGUGUACAGCAUCUACAUACGCCAUCAGGGUUUCAAACUAUGACAUCUUCUGGUAUACCCACAACCUUUUCUUUGUCUUCUAUAUACUGCUGAUGCUGCAUGUUUCCGGGGGAGUGCUCAAGUACCAGACCAACUUAGAGGAACACCCACCUGGUUGCUUUAAUCCUAACAAAACGCUGCUAGGGAAUAUGACAGUGCCGAAGCCUUUUGAAGAGCUGUUUCCUGACUAUACUACUGAGCCUUUCCCAGAGGACUUAACAUUUCCAGAACCCUUUGUACAAAGUAACUUUAUGAGAAUUUGUUCCAAGGAACCCAAGUUUCAGUCGCACUUCCCAGAGACUUGGUUUUGGAUUUCUGGACCUCUGUGCUUGUACUGUGUAGAAAGACUGUACCGCUACAUCCGCAGCAACAAGCCAGUCACAAUAACAUCAGUGAUAAGCCAUCCCUCCAAUGUCCUCGAAGUAAGGAUGAUCAAAGAUGACUUCCGAGCAAGGCCUGGUCAGUAUGUUAUUCUACACUGUCCGAGAGUGUCUGGACUGGAAAGCCAUCCAUUCACCCUUACAAUGUGCCCUACAGAUACCAAAGCAACGUUUGGGGUCCACCUUAAAGUAGUAGGAGACUGGACAGAAAGAUUUCGGGAUUUACUGCUUCUACAGUCAAAUCAAGAUGCAGAGAUUCUGCCCAUCUUUCAGCAGAGGCGCUAUCCCAAACUGUAUGUGGACGGACCUUUUGGAAGUCCCUUUGAGGAAUCCUUGAACUAUGAAGUCAGCCUCUGCGUGGCUGGUGGUAUUGGAGUUACACCAUUUGCAUCAGUUCUCAACGCUCUGCUUGAUGACUGGAAAUGCUACAAACUGAGAAGACUCUACUUCAUCUGGGUAUGCAGGGACGUCGAAUCUUUCCGCUGGUUUGCAGAUUUGCUCUGUAUGUUGCAUAACAAGCUCUGGCAAGAGAAUCGACCAGACUAUAUAAACAUCCAGCUGUACCUCAGUCAGACAGAUGGAAUACAGAAGAUAAUUGGUGAAAAAUAUCAAGCUCUAAACUCAAGGCUUUUGAUUGGACGACCCCGGUGGAAACUCCUUUUUGAUGAAAUAGCAAAGUAUAACAGGCGGAAAACCAUUGGAGUUUUCUGUUGUGGCCCAAGCAAGAUGUCUAAGAUACUUCAUAAACUGAGCAACAGCAGCAACCCUUACGGGACGAGGUUUGAGUAUAAUAAAGAGUCCUUCAGCUGAAAGUCUGUUGGACUUGGAAGAAUCUCUAGAAGAUAAAAGUGCAAUUUUUUGUUUGUAUAACUUUAAAGUUCCACUGUGGUUUAAACAGAAAUGUACCAAAGAGUAGCACAGUUUUUCUUAUUUAUGAUUAUUUAAGACUCUGGAAAAUGAUGGAUAUGGCAGUAUACCAACAAAUAUUAAGUACUCAUGCUCAAAGCCAAAUGUGCUCACACAGUAUUUGUGGCAGCGGUGAUUCUUUGGAAUUGUUUCUGUUAAUUAAAAAGUACUAAUGCUGGGGAUAAAUGCAGUUGCUUUAAAAGCCAGUGGAAGAAAAAUCUGUGGAAUGUUCUUCCACUUCAAUCUUCUGAAGUUGGAUCAAUAAACGAAACCCCCAGGUUAAUCCAAAUGACAAGUCAUAGGGCAUUUCAAACAACUGUUGCUUUUGUUGGCCUAUAGACCUUGUGACUUUGGAGUGCAGACACUCCAUAUUCAAGGUUUUAGGCGUUACAAAACUGGGAUUCUGUAUUUCAAACAUACUCUGUAAUGAGUAUCAAUAUUCCCACUUUGAAUAGAGGAGAGAGGGAAUUUAGGGGAAGAUGUAAAUCAACGUAAGGAAAAGUGAGCACAACAGCCCUAGCACCUUUGGGCAGACUCAGCCAUGAUGUAUAUCACAGCCUUUUGGCAAGGAAACAGCUGUACCUGGAAAACUCAGUAUCUAGCAUCAAUUCAGCAUUCAGUGAGUUUGCAGAAUAAGUGUGAUUUAUGCAGCCAGAAAGAUGGAGCAAGAAAAGCGAUUAACAGGAGGAGACAGGAUAUGAUGUUUUAUUAUACCACAGGCUCAGCAUGGAAGUUGCACUCACUUUGCACUCACAUGCCCUGAAUGUCAAAUACUUACAGCAUUCAGAUGUUCUUAGUGAUUAAUGUACAAUGCAGCAGGCUGAAAUCCUAUUUUAGCAGUUGUGGAAUGUCUUUGGUUGACUGCGGUCCUUUGACUACCGUUGCUGGAGUCAUGCUUGUUGUUCAGUCUCACUGAUCUCUUGUUUGUUCAGUCCCAUUGGUGUCCCUGAAAGCAGCAUUAGUCCAGAUCUGCAGCAGGGUAGGAGUAAAGCUUUCUUUACUAUGGCUCUUAGCAUCUUGUGUACAGAUACAAACUUUGCAGGAUUUGCAGUUUUCAGUGUGUUCUAAAAGGGAGGGUCUGAAACAUCCAAAUUUAAGGUCUUCUUCCCUUCUCAUUACCACAGCUGCUUUCCUGACUCUCAUAGUUGCCAUGAGGUUGAAACGGACACUUCAAAAAUUCUUUGAUUCAGAGUAGCAGCAUUUUACUUACUCAAUUCGGUAGCCAAACCAAUUUCUCUUAUUUUCUCUUGACCUUCUUUCUCGUAUUAUUUUGCCAAGAAAGGGAUAUUUAAGCUGGAGUCAGUCACAUAGUUCACAUAAAUACACCACAAUCUAGAGCAUCUUAAUACAACAGCAUUGCUUUACUCUUGCUGAAAACCUGGCCCUUCAGCAGCUGCCCAGGAGCAAAGCCUGUAAUGUCUGCAGCAUGUGCAGGUCUAUGAUUGCUCAGCAUCCCUCAUAUCACAGUUCACCUGUAUUUAGCACAGUGUAUUUGAUUCAGCAUAGAGCUUUCCAAUGCAUGCAUUUUUCAUUUUAGUAAAAACAAAUCAGUAAUUUCUCACAGCACAGGCUCUAUACAGGAUUCUUCAAGUAUGGGUUUCAGCGGACAGAGGCAAGCUUCUCUCUGGUAGGUGGUGUUGUGGCAUGUUGUGUGUGUAACUAGUGAACGUGUAUUUGGUCUUUUCCAUGACAGUUUCUGCUCAGGAGUUGCUCAAAAUGGUGCAGCUGGAUUCAGUGCAGCAGCACGGCCCCGCAGGGAUGUUUUUUACUGCCUGGACUUUGCACUGAAGUUCUUGCCUCUGACUCUGCUCAAUUUGAAAUUGAGGAGGGAAGGGAAGAGCCAGAGAUGGACUAAUUUCUACUGAUGAGAAUUCUUUAAGUAGCCUAGAGGAGAGAGAACCCAAAAUUGAAGUGUGAGAUGGAAGCCUACACUGCAGCUUGUGAUUUUUAUUUAUUUAUUUAUUUUUAAGUCUGAAUCAUUAUUUUCCCAUUGGAUCUCCUUCAUCUUGUCCCUAUAAACAAGAGGUACACAGAACAGUACCAGUUCUUCUUUAAUUAUUAAUAUUUUUCCUUAUACUGCCUGUGUGGAUUUCAUAAUAAGCACAGCACUGAUGGCAAAAUGCAUAAUCAGGUAUUGUCUGUAUUGCAGGCUUUUUUGUUUGUUUGCUGUUAGCUUAAAGCAUGAUUGAAAUCAUGACUGUGAUUGAAAUCACGACUCCAUCUGUUAGCCACAACCACACAGUGAUCAUUUUUCUCUUGUUUUAAUAUCUAGCAUCUAAUGUUUUUUAAAUAUGGUAUAGAGUCUGCUAAUCUCAAUGAUGUUCUUUGUGGUUUCACAUCUCCUCUGAUAGCUACCAGUUCCCUUACUGCAUAAUGAGCAGUUAGUUUUGUAGCAAGCUCUGCGCUAAUGCAGGUUAUCCUUUCUGGCUCAGCUGUUACAUAGGUAGUGCUUUAUAAUUAAUAAUAGCACUGUACUCUUGUGCUGAAUUCUAGCAGGAGCUGACACUGCGUGGAGGAAUGUUAUCCCCUGUUGUUACAUUAGCAGUGCUGUCAGAGCAAGAAGCUGGCAGUCUUGUCCUGUGCCAAGCUCAGCUGACCCCAGCUGACAGGCUGGGGACUGUCUACCUGUCUGGAGAGUUGUGAGAUGUAAUGAAUGUUACAGGAUCUCUUCAGUGCACCUUUAGCAGGUUUCUGUAGUUGCUAUUGAGCUGUAUUUGUGUUCUAUUUUUUGCAGUUUCUUUCAUUUGACUGAACCUUUCUGUUGCUCACGUGGGUAUUACUAGACUGGAUGAGUGUGGGUUUGGUGGAAAGUUAAAGUGUCCGUUGCUUUUUUUCCUUUUCUUUGCACUGUGCUCUUUAGAGAAGCAGAAAGUCUAAGGGUGAGUGACUGUGACUUGACCUCAGCAGUGGCAAAUGUUAUUUAUAAAAGCAGUUGGUCUGCAUUCUCCUUGCUGCUUUGUAAUGUUUCACUUUAGCUUGCAAAAUCAAGCUGAACUUGCUUUUAAACUGCAUACAGUUUUUAUAUGUACACCAAAUGUACAUGAAAAUAUAACUCUUUGCCAGGCAAGUAAAUGAAGGCUGGCAGCACCUAAUUCCACUUUUACUGUUCAGUUGAAUUUAUGCUAUUUAAUGUCUCUUUACGUGUUACAUUUGUGUCCUGGGAGUGAGUCUGCCAUAAGCUUCCUGCUGACAGGGGAAGAAUCCCACCAUGUAUUGUGCUACUUCUUGCUCACUUGUCCCGAAGCUACAGACCCUCAGUGGCAUCUUUGUGCUUUAUUCAUCAUAAAUGUUUUGGGAUUUUUAUUUAAAACAGGAGAGUUUUUUCAUGCCAUGAUGGAAGCCAAACCCUUUCUCUGCAAAGAAAGCCCAGCCCAGCAAUGUGAGAGCUGGAGCUUUGCACAGCUGCAUUCAUCAGACUUCCCCAGGCAGUCCUGGUCCCACAUCACUGAGCUCGCCUGUCUGAGAGACAGGAUUAGAAGGACCGAGAGAUCCCUGUGCACAUCCUUGAACCUAGGCUGAGGAGAGGAGAGCAGGAUGUACCACAUCCCCCUUGCUGCUGACUGCACUGCUUAGAGCACUGGUAGAAAUGUUAAGCCAAAUCUGCUUUCCAACAAAACGCGUAUUGUUUUGCCACACCAAACUAGAGAACAGUUGCUGUGAAAGGAAAAAAAAGAUAAAUCCUUUCUGUUUGAAGACUCCUGCCCACAUAAGCCUGAUGUGAAGAUGUAUGGAAACACUGCGCAUAUUCAGCUUCCAGCAGCACUGGGGGUCACACACUGCAUCCCUACAAUGGUCUCUCUGCCUCAGCACUCAACUCCCAUAAUUAUUCUUUGUUGCAGGUCUUCACCUGUUAUUGUAGACUCACAGAAUUGUAAUCUCACUAAGUUUGGAAAAAUCCUCUAAGAUCAUUUACUCCAGCUGUCCUUCUACCAUUAAUAUUGCCCACUAAACCAUGUCCCUAAGUACCACAUCUGCACAUUCCUUGAAUAGCUCCAGGGACAGUGACUCCACUAAUUUCCUGGGCAUCUUGUUCCAGUGCCCAACCACUUUUUGGUGAGCUUGCUUUUGCUCAUAGGCAGCCUGAACUACUCCUGGUGCAACUUGGCACCAUUGAUCUCGCAGAUCAAUAUAUAUCUAUAUAUGCUUGUGUGCACACACAGGCUGAUAUAAACUCAGAGCAACUUGUGAGCAUUCUCUGCAGCCAGGUGCAGAACUGUCCUUUUGCUUCUAAUGCCUUUAGCACGGAAGUGAGGAAGCAGUUUGGAGCUGACUGUGAAGGUGCAGAUAAUAUGAGUGGUAGGCUGGCCUCUUGGGGAGUGGUAAUUGAGCUGUAAAAGCCUAACAAAUCCAAGAAGCAGCCUAAGAGAAAAGCCUUUGCUCAACACUGCACACCAGGUUGUAGUUUCAAACUACAAGAAGUUGCUUACAAAAGCCAGCAGGAGGCUAAGUAGUCAUUGUCAGUAGGAGUCUGAGCCCCUUAAGUCAGAGCAAAGUUAUUCAAAUGCAAUGUUUACUUGUUUAAAAAAUAAAAGAGCUUCUAGGGAGAUUAAUUUUCACUUCAGUCUGGCAAUCAUUUCAUAAACAUGCCAGUGUGAUUUAAGGCAAGCUGGAUCUGUUCUUCUCUGGAUUAUGCAUCUGAUUUGUCUGCAGUUUCCCACCCCUCACAAAUAAAAGCAGUUUUAUUGUUUUAACAAAGAGGAUUUUAAAGCAAAGUUUAAUCAAAAUGCCACUGGCACCCGUGCUGAACUGAGCUUUUCUGUAAUGAACGUGCAUUUAUCAGGGUUAUAUAGAAAACAGCUGAGGACUCAACUCUGAAUGGUGAUUUGGAGUUUGAGUCAUCUCUGCUGUUGGUGUAUUUAAUUAAGAUCACUGUGAUAAUGCACUGGUGAAACACAUGGAGCUGAAAUGAGACUUUUCAUUCCCAUAAAGAGGUUGUUCCUGUACUAAGCACAAUAAAUUCCAGAAAGUCUGGGUUUUCCUUUAUAGGAAACCUGUGUGCUCUGCUAGACUGGCACGUACAAUGAAAGCACCAGAUUUUGAGCAACAAAUGCUUCUUCAGGAGCUGUUUGAGUGUUUGUAAAGAUUUCUCAUUCUGCUAAUUGCAUCACCCUUGUUGUAGGAGGUAUGGGAUAUGUUUUCAUCCUGUGGACUAUUUCUGAGGUUAGGAAUAGCUCUAAACUUCACUGUAGUGAAUGCUCAAGCUUUGCAGUGUCUGAAGCAUUAUAUUGUCUGAAAGGAUCAUAUAAUGGGGACAUGGUUUAGUGGGCAUGGUUGGGCUAGAUUAUCUUUGAGGUCUUUUCCACCUGGAUGAUGCUAUGAUUCUAUCUGUAUGCUGUAGAAAUAGCGAAGGAUCUGCCCUAUUCUUUGGGGAAUACAAGGAGAAAGCUGGAGAAAGCAACCCAUCCCAAUUGCAGAUUGCCUCUUAAUAGAGUCCUUAGAUUUCAGGGUGUGUCAUACCUUGUGAAAAGUACUAUUAAGUAUUUUAAGUGCCUCUUUCUGGCAAAAGUCUGGCUUUCCUACAGCCCCAAAUCUGUACCUUCUUCCUAAUGAUCUGCACUGUUACACCAGGAGAGGGGGAUCUGUGAGUAGCUCCUGAAGCUGUCAGCUGAGGAGCAAACCGAGGCGGGCAGGGGAGGAUGAUGAAUUCCAGCACAUGAACAGCUUGAAAUAUUUAGAACGUGGAAGCAAAGGGGAAGGUGGGAGACAUUCUCCCUGGCUCUUCAGUAGCAGAAAUUAAAAGCAAACCCUAUUGCCUGGAUGUGGAUGCUAAUUCUCUCUGGGGUUUGAGAACUGUUGUAUACAGAGAUAGCCUUUCAGUGGUCAACUGAAAGCUAAAGCACAGAAGAAAACUGGUAUAUUUUAGUAAAACACCUUGGAAAUAAGUAAUUUACUUGAAAUAAAUUCACUAUUGAUUCCUUCUAGUUAACUUGUGUCAAAAAACAUCUACUUCUGUUUUGCAGCUUUGGGGUUUGGAAUGGCUUUACUUCUUUUUCACCAGAAUCGUGGAGUAUAUAUAGUUCUCCAUGCUAGCUGUAAGUAGCUUUGACAGUUCAAUAAAUACAUUCUGUGUUCUUUACAGCUGACCCUAGGUAAGGACAGCCUUGAGGAUGUGAAGCAGCGUUGCAUAAAUGUGUAGAGUACAUAGCAACACUGAGAAGAGAGAUGCUGCUGUGUUGCUUUGGUGCACUAGACAUACAUUAAAAUUCUGUCACUGCAAGGUCGCAUUGCUCAUCUCAUACUCUACAACCCUGAAUAAGAAUGGAAGGUGGGGGAGGAAGAGCAAAAACUUCCACCUUGUGCUACUGCUGAGAACAUACUCAUCAGCAGCAUUUCUUUCUAUUUCAAAAGAGCAUGCGAUUUCUUUUCUAAGGAUAAUGGAUUCUUGGUGCUAAGUAAUGGUGUUUGCAUGUUAGUGGUAACAUGCUACUUCUGAACUGAAUAAAUAACACCUCUGGGUCUUUUCUUCUCCUUUAAAUUAUCAAAGAGAAAUACCAAAUGCCACACGGCACACAGAGUGGACUGUGCCUUAAGCUGCUCCAAGUGCAGCCUCGUUAGCAGUGCUGCACAGAAAUCAUGCAAGCUGGUGGGAAGAUGCAAGGUUUAAGCAAAGAGGAAAGAACUCUUGAAAGAGAAGCACAACAGUGAUAUAUCAUUUGAAACCAGAAGCAGGCAUGUCACAGCAGUGGCCAUCACAUCUGACUGGUGCUGAGUCAGAAGCCUACCUUACAAGUAUACCUGGCAUCAAGGAAAGUUGAGAGCUCUCAAAUUGAGUCUACAAUGUGAGAUGAAAGCAAAUUAGGUGAGCCACCUGUUUGGUUUCCAGCUUGGAACUUGGACCUGCUCUGUCUGAGAGCUUCUUGUAUAGAUAAUGAGCUGAUCUGACUCCCAAGUGUGGACUCAGUUGUGUAGCUAACUGAGGGUAUGUGCAUCCCCUUUGUAUUUCUAUGGCUUUGCAAAAUCAAGUUGCUUAGUGACUGGGAGCAGAGUAUCUUACUGUAGGGUUAGUUGCUCGAAAUCCUGUUCUUUCCUGUUAAGAACAAUGGCCUGACCAGAUGAGGAUGAUGACUGCCAGUUUCCAUUGGUGAAUUAAUAUGGCCUGCCCAUAUUCACACUCAUGUUCAUGG